UGACGCUCAAUAAGAUCGUUGGGUUUGGAUUGUUGUACUUUUUUUUUUGUUCGUUCAAUUUUUAGGAACAAAAAAAAAAGCCCAACCCUUCACACCACUUCACCGGCAUCCAGACGAGC
rnacentral:precursor_RNA from 15 species